UGGACUUCCCCACUUCUGAUAUUCUUUUCCUCUGGAGUGGAUUUUAGUUAAAACUCCCAUAUAUAAAAGCUCACCUCCACCCACUUCCAAAUUUUCUUUUGAAGUCCACUGAAGUGAAUCAUCGGGCCAUCUCCCCAUCUCCCCUUCGCGAGGCCGAACGCUGCUCUUCUUGGUCGGAAUUCUUUUGCAGCGACUGGAUCUCUCCUCCGGAAGUGACUAAACCUCUCCUCCGGCAGCGGUUGGAUCUUCCCUCCCGCAGCGGCCGGAUCUCCUCUUCGGCAGCACCUAGAUCUGCUCUCCGGUAGCACACAGAUUUCUCCUCCCACAGCUGCUCGAUCUCCCCUCUGAUAGAGUCUAGAUCUUCUGUCCGACAGCAGGUGGAUCUCACGUACGGCAAUGGCUGGAUCUUCCCUCCGGCAAGGGGCUUCAUAAAUCCCCCUAAAACCCCAAUUCCCAAAUUCGGUUUUCCCUUCCCGGCGAUCGCCAUUGGCCGCGAUUGCCAUGGGGAUGGUGCGUCGCGAGGAGAAGCUGCGAUGUACCAAGGAACCCUUCAUCGAGGAUGUCGGGCCUCGGCGAAUAAAAAGCCUUCGUUUCAGCAUGUUUUCUGGCGAUGAGAUACGGAAGUUGGCAGAGGUCCAGGUCUGGAACAACAAGCUCUACAAUGAGAGUGCUAAACCUGUUGAUCAUGGCAUUCUUGAUGCUCGGAUGGUAC